AUGAUGAGGCGACCCCGGAGCACUCUGCUCGCGUCCCUCCGCGCGUGCUCUGCCAGCGGUUGGGCGUACGCACGAUCACCUUACGGGGGCCCCAUAUGCAUGCGCUUGCGCUGCGCACGUCGCCACACGAUGUCGUCCGUCUUCCCCUUUAAUUCCCGCAGCCAUUAUAACCUUAGUCUCUUCAACCUUUUGAUCGCGCCCCACAACACAACAAGCACACCCACGACGACACAUAGAGAGGGGAUGUCUAGUGGCGCUCCAAUGGAGUUUGGCGAGCAUAAUGUGGAGACCCACGCAAUGGAGACAGAUCUCUCGGUGGUGUACACUAUCGACCCGGUCGUGGUGAACGACUACAUAAACACCGUUGAGCAGUUGCUUGGUCAAGACACAUACAAGGUGGUCGGCAUCGACCUCCUGUACACCGCUGGUCGUCCCAACAUAGAUCAGAAGGUUGUCGUCGCCCAGUUGUGUUUUACUUUGGUGUGUGCAAAUUCCAUGGUUGUAGUAGCCACCUAUAGGUUGGGACGCAACGGCAAAGGUUUUGUAUGCUCGCAUCAAACAUACCCGGAGUGGAGCAGCCAUCUUUCACGCCAUCCUCAUCGACCAAACUAUUUCCAGGGGUUCAAAAUGGAUGCAAUUGCAUUUGAUCCAUUUCAACCGAUCGCAUAUCGCUUCAGCGACAACCUACGUGCCGGCUCAGUACACUUAUUCAAAAAAGUUGGUUUUGAACCAGCAGCUAUGCAUCUGCCAGUUGCAUUGCCAGUGCCAUGUGACUUUUACAUCGUCCUCCACUCGCGCACUGAAAUACUUCUUGCCAGGGCCAGCAUUAACAUCCCUUCAUUGCCGCCACGAUUCAUUGAUUUUAUAGAUGUCUACAGCCUCAGAAACAGGAUGCUUGCAGAUGCAUUGUAUCAUCUCACAAUGAAUUUUGCUGACAUGUCAGACGACCGUACCACACCAUACCGACAUGUGAUGCAUGGCAGUGGGCUAACAUUUUAUUGCUCAACCAGGAGGGAGUUUAUCUACCUACGUGUCUGGGACCAGCAUGUGUCACGCCACUUGAUGCGGUGGGGACUAGCAAAGCAGGGGCUCUGGACUUUAGGUGCCACACUGCUUGAGGUCAACAGAGCACAACACAACCAGCAGUCCUACGAGCUGGCAGCCUGCCGUGCGGCACUAGGAGAUGCUCAACCGGGCCAGCUUGAUUGUUCAACGAAUGAGCCAUGUUCACGUUCAACGAAUGAGGAGGGUUCAAGUCUGAUGCAAAAUUCACUUCGAUGCUCUAUAAUGAUGUUCAAAUCUAGAUGA
rnacentral:rRNA from 1 species